UUAAGUUAAUAAGGGCGCACGGUGGAUGCCUUGGCACUAGAAGCCGAAGAAGGACGUGACAAACGACGAAAUGCUUUGGGGAGCUGUAAGUAAGCGCUGAUCCAGAGAUGUCCGAAUGGGGGAACCCACUAACUAAUGGUUAGUAUCCAUAACUGUUAAGGUUAUGAGAAGGAAGACGCAGUGAACUGAAACAUCUAAGUAGCUGCAGGAAGAGAAAGCAAACGCGAUUGCCUUAGUAGCGGCGAGCGAAACGGCAGGAGGGCAAACCGAAGUGUUUACACUUCGGGGUUGUAGGACUGCGACGUGGGACUUUAAAAGGAUAGAAGAAUUACCUGGGAAGGUAAGCCAAAGAGAGUAAAAGCCUCGUAUUUAAAAUUCUUUUGAGCCCUAGCAGUAUCCUGAGUACGGCGAGACACGUGAAAUCUCGUUGGAAUCUGGGAGGACCAUCUCCCAACCCUAAAUACUCUCUAGUGACCGAUAGUGAACCAGUACCGUGAGGGAAAGGUGAAAAGCACCCCGGGAGGGGAGUGAAAUAGAACCUGAAACCGUGUGCCUACAACAAGUUCGAGCCCGUUAAUGGGUGAGAGCGUGCCUUUUGUAGAAUGAACCGGCGAGUUACGAUAUGAUGCGAGGUUAAGUUGAAGAGACGGAGCCGUAGGGAAACCGAGUCUUAAUAGGGCGAUUUAGUAUCAUGUUGUAGACCCGAAACCAUGUGACCUACCCAUGAGCAGGUUGAAGGUGAGGUAAAACUCACUGGAGGACCGAACCAGGGCACGUUGAAAAGUGCUUGGAUGACUUGUGGGUAGCGGAGAAAUUCCAAACGAACUUGGAGAUAGCUGGUUCUCUCCGAAAUAGCUUUAGGGCUAGCGUCGAUGUUAAGUCUCUUGGAGGUAGAGCACUGUUUGGGUGAGGGGUCCAUCUCGGAUUACCAAUCUCAGAUAAACUCCGAAUGCCAACGAGAUAUCAUCGGCAGUCAGACUGCGAGUGCUAAGAUCCGUAGUCGAAAGGGAAACAGCCCAGACCACCAGCUAAGGUCCCAAAAUAACUGUUAAGUGGAAAAGGAUGUGGGGUUGCACAGACAACUAGGAUGUUAGCUUAGAAGCAGCUAUUCAUUCAAAGAGUGCGUAAUAGCUCACUAGUCGAGUGACCCUGCGCCGAAAAUGUACCGGGGCUAAAACAGUUUACCGAAGCUGUGGAUGACACAAAAGUGUCAUGGUAGGAGAGCGUUCUAUGUGUGAAGAAGGUGUACCGUGAGGAGCGCUGGAACGCAUAGAAGUGAGAAUGCCGGUAUGAGUAGCGAAAGACAGGUGAGAAUCCUGUCCACCGUAAGACUAAGGUUUCCAGGGGAAGGCUCGUCCGCCCUGGGUUAGUCGGGACCUAAGGAGAGACCGAAAGGUGUAUCCGAUGGCCAACAGGUUGAUAUUCCUGUACUAGAGUAUAUAGUGAUGGAGGGACGCAGUAGGCUAACUAAACCGGACGAUUGGAAGAGUCCGGCUAAGCAGUGAGGUGUAAGAUGAGUCAAAUGCUUAUCUUUAUAACAUUGAGCUGUGAUGGGGAGCGAAUUUUAGUAGCGAAGUUAGUGAUGUCACACUGCCAAGAAAAGCUUCUAGCGUUUAAUGAUACUCUACCCGUACCGCAAACCGACACAGGUAGUCGAGGCGAGUAGCCUCAGGUGAUCGAGAGAACUCUCGUUAAGGAACUCGGCAAAAUGACCCCGUAACUUCGGGAGAAGGGGUGCUGACUUAGGUCAGCCGCAGUGAAUAGGCCCAAGCAACUGUUUAUCAAAAACACAGCUCUCUGCUAAAUCGUAAGAUGAUGUAUAGGGGGUGACGCCUGCCCGGUGCUGGAAGGUUAAGAGGAGGGUUUAGCGCAAGCGAAGAUCUGAAUUGAAGCCCCAGUAAACGGCGGCCGUAACUAUAACGGUCCUAAGGUAGCGAAAUUCCUUGUCGGGUAAGUUCCGACCCGCACGAAAGGCGUAAUGAUUUGGGCACUGUCUCAACGAGAGACUCGGUGAAAUUUUAGUACCUGUGAAGAUGCAGGUUACCCGCGACAGGACGGAAAGACCCCAUGGAGCUUUACUGCAGUUUGAUAUUGAGUAUCUGUACCACAUGUACAGGAUAGGUAGGAGCCAUUGACUUCGGGACGCCAGUUUCGAAUGAGGCGUUGUUGGGAUACUACCCUUGUGUUAUGGCUACUCUAACCCAGAUAGGUUAUCCCUAUCGGAGACAGUGUCUGACGGGCAGUUUGACUGGGGCGGUCGCCUCCUAAAGAGUAACGGAGGCGCCCAAAGGUUCCCUCAGAUUGGUUGGAAAUCAAUCGCAGAGUGUAAAGGUAUAAGGGAGCUUGACUGCGAGAGCUACAACUCGAGCAGGGACGAAAGUCGGGCUUAGUGAUCCGGUGGUACCGAAUGGAAGGGCCAUCGCUCAACGGAUAAAAGCUACCCUGGGGAUAACAGGCUUAUCUCCCCCAAGAGUUCACAUCGACGGGGAGGUUUGGCACCUCGAUGUCGGCUCGUCGCAUCCUGGGGCUGUAGUCGGUCCC
rnacentral:rRNA from 1 species